rnacentral:rRNA from 1 species
GAUGAACGCUGGCGGCGUGCUUAACACUUGCAAGUCAAACGAACCUUCGGGUUAGUGGCGGACGGGUGAGUAACGCGUGAGAAUCUGCCCUCAGGAGGGGGAUAACGGCUGGAAACGGCCGCUAAUACCCCAUAUGCCGCGAGGUGAAAUGAAUUUCGCCUGAGGAUGAGCUCGCGUCUGAUUAGCUAGUUGGUGGGGUAAAGGCCUACCAAGGCUUCAAUCAGUAGCUGGUCUGAGAGGAUGAUCAGCCACACUGGGACUGAAACACGGCCCAAACUCCUACGGGAGGCAGCAGUGGGGAAUUUUCCGCAAUGGGCGAAAGCCUGACGGAGCACCGCCGCGUGAGGGAUGAAGGCCUCUGGGCUGUAAACCUCUUUUAUCAAGGAAAAAAAUCUGACGGUACUUGAUGAAUAAGCCACGGCUAAUUCCGUG